GACAGAGGGGGCAAGCGUUGCUCGGAAUCACUGGGCGUAAAGGGCGCGUAGGCGGGAUAGCAAGUCGGUCGUGAAAUCCUUCGGCUCAACCGAAGAACGUCGGCCGAUACUGCCGUUCUUGAGGGAUGCAGAGGAGAUUGGAAUUCCCGGUGUAGCGGUGAAAUGUGUAGAGAUCGGGAGGAACACCGGUGGCGAAGGCGGGUCUCUGGGCAUCUCCUGACGCUGAGGCGCGAAAGCGUGGGGAGCAAACGGG
rnacentral:rRNA from 1 species